GCUGGCGGCAGGCUUAACACAUGCAAGUCGAGCGGGGAAAGGUAGCUUGCUACUAGACCUAGCGGCGGACGGGUGAGUAAUACUUAGGAAUCUGCCUAUUAGUGGGGGACAACAUUCCGAAAGGGAUGCUAAUACCGCAUACGUCCUACGGGAGAAAGCAGGGGAUCACUUGUGACCUUGCGCUAAUAGAUGAGCCUAAGUCAGAUUAGCUAGUUGGUGGGGUAAAGGCCUACCAAGGCGACGAUCUGUAGCGGGUCUGAGAGGAUGAUCCGCCACACUGGGACUGAGACACGGCCCAGACUCCUACGGGAGGCAGCAGUGGGGAAUAUUGGACAAUGGGGGGAACCCUGAUCCAGCCAUGCCGCGUGUGUGAAGAAGGCCUUUUGGUUGUAAAGCACUUUAAGCGAGGAGGAGGGUACCUUGGUUAAUACCCAAGAGUACUGGACGUUACUCGCAGAAUAAGCACCGGCUAACUCUGUGCCAGCAGCCGCGGUAAUACAGAGGGUGCGAGCGUUAAUCGGAUUUACUGGGCGUAAAGCGUGCGUAGGCGGCUUUUUAAGUCGGAUGUGAAAUCCCCGAGCUUAACUUGGGAAUUGCAUUCGAUACUGGGAAGCUAGAGUAUGGGAGAGGAUGGUAGAAUUCCAGGUGUAGCGGUGAAAUGCGUAGAGAUCUGGAGGAAUACCGAUGGCGAAGGCAGCCAUCUGGCCUAAUACUGACGCUGAGGUACGAAAGCAUGGGGAGCAAACAGGAUUAGAUACCCUGGUAGUCCAUGCCGUAAACGAUGUCUACU
rnacentral:rRNA from 1 species